ensembl:lncRNA
UCCACAACAUUAUUGCACUGGGUUGUCAUCUCACAUUUCAUAAAUCCUUGAAAAUAAGCUCCUGAAAAGCAGGGAUAAAGUGACAUUUGGGAAUGGAGUAAAAUCACAACCUAAAUGUGAACUCCAGCAAUGGUUGGGAGUUGGGUUACCAGCUCCUCCGUCUAUUUAGAAUGGCUUAGAGCUGGGUCGGAGCUGUUUGCUUAGCCCCGUUACGAACACAAGGGUUGAACUCCUGGCCCCCUCCCUCAUAAAUAAACUGAUGUCCAGGCUGAAGUCAGAUGCCCAUCUUUUCUGGAAGUGACAUCUACAGCUCACAUCCGAAAAAAUCUCCGGGGUGAAGAGGGUUAAGAAACAUAAAUCUUGGAAAAUAGUUUAUUAAUUCUGUGAUAGAAGCUCAUGCCUAUGAAAGUCAGCAGGAUGGAUUAGGCUGCCUGCGUGUACAGUAAGGAGGGUUUUUUUCCCUUCCUCCCCCCAUCCCAUUUUAAUUAGAACCAGAUUUAGAAAGUGGGACUUUCCUGAAUAAUCAGCCACAGUAAACCUUUAAUCUCAGUCACCUCCAUGAGAAUAGAAUAGGAAAUUGAUGUGCAGAAAGAGGGGAGGCACAGAUGAAGGGGAUGGCAAGGGAAGGACAGGUCACUGAAGUCGCCUCUUUAAGGCUAUUGUUAUUGUUUUUCAGAUGUGGCUGUGUCAGUAACUCAUAGGGCCCAAAGGGGCUUUCCCUGCAGCAUUCACCAUUGUGAGAUAUCAGGAGCCAGAGCGCAGGAUAUAAUCACUAUUUGAUGCACGCAAUUGCCAACAUGGCUUCUUUUCUCAAAAUAAAAUAAAAUGGUCCCAGAGGAAAAAGGAUUUACAAGUAAUGUUGAGUCCAGGAGAGCAGUUCUGGAUCCUGCUGCUGGUCUGGUGGUGACCCAGCCUGAGCCACAUUCCUGCAUGGGGCAACAGUUACUGCAACUGUAGCACAGGGCUAGUGAUAACUGAAACCCCCAGAAAAGCACCUGGAGAUACAGCAGCAAAAUCAAAAGGGUCAUCGUGUGAGAUAAAGAACCACCACUUGAACUCAUCUGACUUCACUCCAGCCCUGUGCUUAACCCCUUGUGACCGUGUUUUCCCUCCCUUUCCUAAGCAGGAUGUUCAGGAUGAUGACCUGACCCUGCAAACCGUACAGAUGUGGGUGAGCUCUGUUCCUGGGCACAGCUGGCGUUCACCCUGGAGCGGCCACUCCAUUCUCUCUUGCAUUUCAAACAUCCCUCACUGUGGCGAGGCUGUUGAUUUGCUAUUGCAGUUGAAAAUUUUUGACAGGUGACUCAUCCCUGCUCUAGCAAUAUGCUGCGUUUGAUCAUCGAGUCCUAGAGGGCUUUUAGCAAGCAAUUAGGAGGUGGAUGUGAAAAUAAUUUGUACGUUUGUCUGUUUGUUGUUUGUCUCCAGCUCUCCUGUAAUCAGUUACCUCUCUGCCUUCCGCUGUGGGCAGGAGGGGCCCAAGAAAUUCGGUUGUCAUGGGAGAGGGCUGUUCGGGGCUGUUGGGAGCUGUCGUGCUGCUACUUGUCCACAUCCCCAACGAAAAGCUCUCCACUAAUAAUUACCACAUCACUGCAAACAGACUGAGGAGAGACAUGAUGUAAAAAUUAAAUUACUUAAAACAUUUUUUGGGCUAACACUCGGCUUUAUAUAAACUCAGAGACAAUCCUAUAAGGCACUCAGGGCAGAUUAUAGGUUUGGGCAAAGCUAGAAAAUUGCUGCCAUUAUAUUGUUAUUAUUAACACCUUGUAAUUAGCCCUAAGGAAUCCUGAAGUUCUCUCUCCUGAUUUGGCUUUAAUGAAGGAAAAUUGCUACCUUUGCAAGUUGGAUGGCGCCCGCUCUGAUUAAUCUUAAGUAUAUAGGACUAUUAUUUUGAAAAUGUUUGUUGUCAUGUGAAUAUUAGUAUUGCAUGUAAAGGGGGGGGGGGAGUGCAGUGGGCUCUUCUCUCUCUUGGCUGUGAUGAGUCACAUGUUCACUUUAGUUACGGUCAUUCCCUUCAAGAUAGAGAAUGGAAACCUUGAGAAGAUAUCCCGACCACAAGCUAAUGAAUUCAGGAGGAUCCUGUGGCAAGGGCUGCCAGCUGCCCUACUGGCUGAUUGCAUUGGCUGAUGGAGUAAUUGUUGCAUGGAGAUAGUUUUAUGAUUGCUUUGAGAGUCUGAAUGAGAUCAUGCAUGAGUUAGCACACUAAGUGCAAUAAAAAUGAUUUUAUUUGCA